rnacentral:rRNA from 1 species
CCUACGGGAGGCAGCAGUGAGGAAUCUUCCACAAUGGGGGCAACCCUGAUGGAGCGACACCGCGUGAAGGAUGAAGGUCUAACGAUUGUAAACUUCUUUUCUGAGGGAGCAUAAUGAGAGUACUUCAGGAAUAAGGGACGGCUAAAUACGUGCCAGCAGCCGCGGUAAU